AGGCAGUAGACCGAGGCCAGGUAAAUUUAAUCAGAACCAAAAUAACUUGGGCCCUAAAACUCCAUCUUAGAAAUUGAACUUUAAUUUUACUGUCUUUUUCCAAGGGUAGUUUUAUUUUUGGCAACAGACGCAUGACCAACUUUAUGCCAUCCUGCUGAUUUUCUCAAAUAGUUCUGCAUUGCCUUAAAGUUAUUCAAAGCACAUCUGAAGGCCAAAGAAUAUCUUUCAUGUGAUUUCAUGUUGGCAGGCACUGGGGCUUAGUGGAAAACAUUGAGAGGGCGUGGAUGGGGCUCAGGAGACCGGGGCCAGGCCCAGAAGUCUCCAUGACACAUUCAGACAAGGUGUCUGGGCCCUGAGAAAUGUGGGAGUUUCUGUUUGUGACUUCAUGGGCCCCAGGUAGAAGUGCUCCCCCACCCCCCACCCCACCCCUGUUUGCAGGUAGAGUGGUUGAGAGGUCUGGACUCUGUGGAAGCUGUCGAAGGCCUUCCCAUGGGCACUGGGAAAUCAGGGGCACCCAUGUGUUGGCAUCUGACUUCUGUUGGGUCAAGUCAUGGGCCACUCCAGCAACUGGCCCUUCCCAUCCUUAGGGCCCUCCAAAGAAGAGGUGUUAAGCAGCUGGAGACUACUCUGAUCCCAACCUCCCAGCUUCCCAAAAGAUGAAAGAGGACAGAGGACCCCAGAUUGUCAGAGCAGAAGGGGGCCUAAACUGGCUGGUCCAGAAAGCCAGACACAUUGGCCCUGGGUCCAUUACAUUGUGAAGAAUCCUCAGAGAGCUUCUUACAUAAAACAAAACAAAACUGAGACUGUGCUUGCAGUCCCAGGUACUCAGUAGGCUAAGGUAGGAUGACUGCUUGAAUCCAUGAGUCCCAUACCAAUGAGACUAUGUCUCAAACAAACAACAAAACAAAAACCCCAGAGGCUGCCAAGCUGUCCUUUCUGAGAGUAUGUCAUGGGCAGUGGCCAGGUCUGGAAAAUUUUGACCUGAUCAAAUUUUUCUACUUUUCCUUGGGAAACAGAGCCCCAAAGAAGCCUGGAGCCUGACAUCCACAGAACCUAAAUCAGAACGUAAGGCUUCUGAUUCUCAGUUAAGAUGUUUUUUCUACCCAAGACCAGGAGCCUAUGGGACUCGGAAGAACUGCCUAUCUUUUUUUUUUUAAUUUUCUCAAAAGCAAAGCUAUUAAUACAGAGAAAGCUGAACACAGGCAGUGUGCCAGGCUUGUACAAAAAGCUCAGUCCCGCCUCCCUCUCCUGGAGCGCUGCUGGCUGGGGUGUGGUGUUUCUCCCCAACCUUGGGAUUGUUUGUGCUUUUUACUUGCGUAGCUUUUGUUUGUCCAGUUUGGUUUCCAUGACACAGGACAGCUGCCAGCAGUGGAGGGCUGCAGUGGUCACUGGGCACAGGCCACCAGCUCCUCCAAGGCUUCCUCACCACGGCCAGCCGUACCAGCAGCACUUCCUUGAUCCGCCCUGCUGGAAGCCCAUGUCGCUGAACUGUUCCCAGAGGCGAAGGAACUCCCCGGCCUGAGGGCACAGGAAGGUGCUGGGACCCUGGGCAGCCCAGUCCUGGUGCCCACAGCACUUCACCCCAGGAAGCUGCCUCUCCACCGUCCAGGCCAGCCUGAUCCUGGGAGGCCCUUGCUAUGUUUUUGCACCUCUGAGGCUGCUCAGGGAUGGGUGUACCCUCAUCCCGAAGGACCCAGGAAGGAGGCCCCGCUGACCUUGCUCUCAGAGUACUGGAACAGUUCCAUGGCCUCAUCCACCAGGCCCUCCUCAUAGCCCUGCUGCAGCAGCCUCUCCCAGCGCUCAGGUAGCCGAGAAACUGGACAGAAGUGGGCAGAGAGAGGCGGGAUGGUAAGAAGACAAGCAGUAGAUGGUGUGCAGUUUGAGCUCAAGACCAAGGGAGCUGGGAAACCCCCCUGCAUGCAACAGGGCCCAGAGAUCCCAGGAGCCAAAACAGAAGCAGAGGCCCCCCUUUAAAGACCUCAGGACAACUGGACUGUGGUCCCCACCACUGUCCCAAGGUGGGGGCUGGAGUCCAGGAAAGGGCCUUUCAGAGAGUGGGGACAUACACACUCCCCGAUCCCGGUAAGCACCCACUGUGAGGGGCCCCUCCCCACCCUGACAUCUCCAUCCCCAGGACUCCCUGAGCCUCUAUAGCUGGGGGAGAGGCAGUGGGCAGGGGCCCACAGGGGCCAUAUCCUCUGUGUCAAUCCCUGUUCAAAUCACUGGGGCUCCUUUACCCUCUGGAGAGGGUGAGUAGAGAUGGUGGACGCUGAAGGGCCUGUUCCACCCUGUCCCAGCCACGGGCUGCCUCAGCACAGGCCAGCGCUGGCCCCUCUGGGAAGCCUCUGCCACCUGGGUCUCCACUGGCUGUGUCCCUGAGCUCCUUUUGUGGCACACAGAGCCCUGUGAUUGCUCCACUUCCUCUUUGUCCUCUCUCACUUCCUGCCCCACGUGAGAGGGGCUGGUUGGUCUUGCCUGUCACUGUGUCCCCAGCCCCAGCAUGGCAGUUGGAAGGAGCUCUUAAAUAAACAGAUGCUGCAUUUAUGAAAUGAAUUAAGAAUGACCUUGAAGGAACUUACAGCUUAGCAUGGGAGAUAAACCAGAUGCAGGACGUCAGUGCCAGGCAAAUCAAAGCAGGAUUUAUAGGUGGUCGGUGCCAGAUGAAGGCUCCUGACCUGGAGGAUUAGGGGUAUUCGCAGAGAAGGAGCAGGGCGGGUUUCUGCACACCUUCAGGGCAGGCAGAGAUUGGGAUGGUCUGGUUGAAUGGUUUUCAAACUGAUGCAGCUCCUCACUGCCCUGGCUGCAAUCAGCUGCCUGGGAGAUGUGGGACUGCAUAACCUUUGUUCCUUUUCUCCAGCCUCAUUGUAAUUAAAUGUGAGUUAACGCAUAAAGAUGCUUGUUAGUUUUGGGACACUAGAUAAAAAUCUGUAACAGACCUAAAGUCCCAAAGUAAACUACUCAACUCCUUGUUUGCCCGGAACUGAUGUUCUGGGCACCACAAUUUUUAGAACAAGCUGCAAAUGUCUGCUGACCAUCAAUACGUGACAGUCGACCACUAACCUUUGUUCCCUUUUCUUUAAUUCUAUAUGUUAACUUCCCCCUCAAGCCCCUAUAAAAACAGCCUCGGACUCUGAGACAGCUGCCUCUCUAAGCUAUUUUGCUUUGGGAGUGCCGUCUGGCCAGACUAAUAAAGGUCUGUUUUAUUUUCCAACUUGUCCGGUGUGUUCCUUCCCAGGUGUUCUUCGCUGUAGUCAGCUCGGAGUGUUUGGUAAGGCUCUUGGUCUUACAUUCUG
ensembl:lncRNA